GUAGGUAGCUAGAGUAAAGGGGAAGGAAAUAUAUACACACUUAGUAAUAUUGGAUCCGGUGUCUCCUUUAUCUGGCAGGCUGGUGUGUGCUGGGAAUGGGCUGGUACUGCAGGUUCUGUGUGAGGGAAUUGGGCUGGGUGCUGGUACUGCAGGUUCUGUGUGAGGGAAUUGGGCCGGGUGCUGGGAAUGGGCUGGUACUGCAGGUUCUGUGUGAGGGAAUUGGGCCGUGUGCUGGGAAUGGGCUGAUACUGCAGGUUCUGUGUGAGGGAAUUGGGCUGGGUGCUGGUACUGCAGGUUCUGUGUGAGGGAAUUGGGCUGGGUGCUGGUACUGCAGGUUCUGUGUGAGGGAAUUGGGCCGGGUGCUGGGAAUGGGCUGGUACUGCAGGUUCUGUGUGAGGGAAUUGGGCCGGGUGCUGGGAAUGGGCUGGUACUGCAGGUUCUGUGUGAGGGAAUUGGGCCGGGUGCUGGGAAUGGGCUGGUACUGCAGGUUCUGUGUGAGGGAAUUGGGCUGGGUGCUGGUACUGCAGGUUCUGUGUGAGGGAAUUGGGCUGGGUGCUGGGAAUGGGCUGGUACUGCAGGUUCUGUGUGAGGGAAUUGGGCUGGGUGCUGGUACUGCAGGUUCUGUGUGAGGGAAUUGGGCCAGGUGCUGGGAAUGGGCUGGUACUGCAGGUUCUGUGUGAGGGAAUUGGGCCGGGUGCUGGGAAUGGGCUGGUACUGCAGGUUCUGGGUGAGGGAAUUGGGCCGGGUGCUGGGAAUGGGCUGGUACUGCAGGUUCUGUGUGAGGGAAUUGGGCUGGGUGCUGGGAAUGGGCUGGUACUGCAGGUUCUGUGUGAGGGAAUUGGGCCGGGUGCUGGGAAUGGGCUGGUACUGCAGGUUCUGUGUGAGGGAAUUGGGCUGGGUGCUGGUACUGCAGGUUCUGUGUGAGGGAAUUGGGCUGGGUGCUGGGAAUGGGCUGGUACUGCAGGUUCUGUGGGAGGGAAUUGGGCCGGGUGCUGGGAAUGGGCUGGUACUGCAGGUUCUGUGUGAGGGAAUUGGGCUGGGUGCUGGUACUGCAGGUUCUGUGUGAGGGAAUUGGGCCGGUGCUGGUACUGUGCUGCCGCUCUGGGUAGGAGGGAAUAAUGGCUCCCAGAACAAGGGCCACUUUGUGCCGCCCCCCCCCCCCCCCCGCCUGUGCCAGUUCCCAGGGGGAUAACGGGGCUUCUUGUUCUCUGGCUUCUUCCUGGGAAUCACUGAUUAUUAUUGUGCCCCCCCGGCUGGAGCGUAAGCAGGCUGGCACUGUGCUGGUGUUCUGUGCUACCUGUGCUCUCGGUGCUGAGUGUUAUAUUUGGGUCUCGGUGCCGAGUGUUAUAUUUGGGUCUCGGUGCUGAGUGUUAUAGUUGGGUCUCGGUGCUGAGUGUUAUAUUUGGGUCUCGGUGCUGAGUGUUAUAGUUGGGUCUCGGUGCUGAGUGUUAUAUUUGGGUCUCGGUGCCGAGUGUUAUAUUUGGGUCUCGGUGCUGAGUGUUAUAGUUGGGUCUCGGUGCUGAGUGUUAUAUUUGGGUCUCGGUGCUGAGUGUUAUAGUUGGGUCUCGGUGCUGAGUGUUAUAGUUGGGUCUCGGUGCUGAGGGUUAUAGUUGGGUCUCGGUGCUGAGUGUUAUAUUUGGGUCUCGGUGCUGAGGGUUAUAGUUGGGUCUCGGUGCCGAGGGUUAAAGUUGGGUCUCGGUGCCGAGGGUUAUAGUUGGGUCUUGGUGCCGAGGGUUAUAGUUGGGUCUCGGUGCCGAGGGUUAUAGUCGGGUCUCGGUGCCGAGGGUUAUAGUCGGGUCUCGGUGCCGAGGGUUAUAGUCGGGUCUCGGUGCCGAGGGUUAUAGUCGGGUCUCGGUGCCGAGGGUUAUAGUCGGGUCUCGGUGCCGAGGGUUAUAGUCGGGUCUCGGUGCCGAGGGUUAUAGUCGGGUCUCGGUGCCGAGGGUUAUAGUUGGGUCUCGGUGCCGAGGGUUAUAGUCGGGUCUCGGUGCCGAGGGUUAUAGUCGGGUCUCGGUGCCGAGGGUUAUAGUCGGGUCUCGGUGCCGAGGGUUAUAGUCGGGUCUCGGUGCUGCAGAUUUGCCAGUAAAACCGUUGCGCGCGCACACACAUUUACACACAUUGUGGCACCAGUAGUUUUGUUGUACAGUUUAUGGGGGACUCUGGGAGUUGUAGUUCACAUGUAUAAUAGUGCUGCCUGUAUGGGCAGGAAUAUCCAUUCCUUAACUGGCUGCA